AAAUAUUUUAUUCCACAUACAUCUAAAAGUUGCAGGAGACUGGCCCUCGAGGUCUGGAGUUGCCCACUCCUGCUAUGACAAUGUGU